AUGCUCUUUGCGGAUGAUGUGGUGCUAGUUGACGAUAGUCGGACGGGGGUAAAUAGGAAGUUAGAGUUAUGGAGACAAACCUUGGAAUCGAAAGGGUUUAGGCUUAGUAGAACUAAAACCGAGUACAUGAUGUGCGGUUUCAGUACUACUAGGUGUGAGGAGGAGGUUAGCCUUGAUGGCCAGGUGGUACCUCAGAAGGACACCUUUCGGUAUUUGGGGUCAAUGCUGCAGGAGGAUGGGGGUAUUGAUGAAGAUGUGAACCAUCGAAUCAAAGCCGGAUGGAUGAAGUGGCGCCAAGCUUCUGGCAUUCUAUGUGACAAGAGAGUGCCACAAAAGCUAAAAGGCAAGUUCUACAGGACGGCGGUUCGACCCACAAUGUUGUAUGGCGCUGAGUGUUGGCUGACUAAAAGGCGACAUGUUUAA
rnacentral:rRNA from 1 species